UACAGAGGGGGCAAGCGUUAUUCGGAAUUAUUGGGCGUAAAGGGCGCGUAGGCGGCGAUUCAAGUGACGGGUGAAAUCCCUCGGCUUAACCGAGGAACUGCCUGUCAGACUGGAUUGCUUGAGGCCGGGAGAGGCGAGUGGAAUUCCCAGUGUAGCGGUGAAAUGCGUAGAUAUCGAGAGGAGCACCUGCGGCGAAGGCGGGUUGCUGGGCUGACACUGACGCUGAAGCGCGAAAGCUAGGGGAGCGAACGGG
rnacentral:rRNA from 1 species